rnacentral:misc_RNA from 1 species
UGGCUCUCGCAUCGAUGAAGAACGCAGCGAAAUGCGAUAAGUAAUGUGAAUUGCAGAAUUCAGUGAAUCAUCGAAUCUUUGAACGCACCUUGCGCCCCGUGGUAUUCCGCGGGGCAUGCCUGUUUGAGUGUCACGUGAAACCUCAUUAGGACGAUGUCAAAGUCGUCUCUAAUGGACUUGGACCGUGCCGUAGUGGCUCGUCCUGAAAUGCAUUAGCUGGGUCGCCUUGCCGUGCUGGCCGUGGUGUGAUAAUUAUCUGCGCCUGUAAGUGCUUUGCGGUGAAGAGCGGUGCGGCUCAUAGCCGUCCGAGAGGACAAUCCAUUUAACGCUUUGGCCUCAAAUCAGGUAGGAUUACCCGCUGA